GGCGAUGGGCCCGCCUAGGGUGGCCGCUGCCUCGCUGGGGUGACGGGAAGGGGGUGUGAAUCCCCCACGGACCCGCCGCUGUGAUGGGUGAGGUGGCCGCAGUUGCCAUUGGCCUUCGGGCUGAGAAGGCGCGGCCGCCGCGGAGCCUCGGCUCCCCACCCUGAGUCAGAAGACCGCCCCCGGCCUUUGAUCGAAA
rnacentral:ncRNA from 2 species